AUGGACUACCGCGAGAACAAGGACCCGGAGUACUUCCGGUUAGGGGUGCUCGCCGCCGACGUCGACAAGGGAGGCUGGGCCUGGAACACCGGGCUGGGCGGGCCGUGCAAUUUGUGGCAGGUUGUCUGCACCGCCGCGCACCCAGACGGCCGCACCAUCUUCUUCUCCACGUACUAUGGCAUAACUUACUCGUUCGACACCGAGACCCGCGAGUGGAAGCACCAAGGCGACUGGACGCUGCCUUUCCAAUGGCACGCCUGCUACGACGGCGAGCUGGACGCGUGGGUGGGGCUCCGCCUAGGCUCUGACGAGCUCGAGGCGGGGACCGUGUGCUGCUGCGACGUGGUGCCCGCGGCCGGCGGCGAGGGACAACCGCCGCCGUCGUGGAAGAUCGUCAAGGAGAAGAUUGUGUGCGAGGACAGGGAUAGGACACUGGGUACCACGCUUACGCGUAUCGGACGCGGCACGUACUGCCUCAUCGAGUAUCGGGCAGGGAAGGACGGCGGGCCUGGAGACUCGCGCCUGUUUUACGCGACGGCGUUUAGUCUCCGGUACGACAAGGACGGGGAACUUCGAGCCACGGCGCGGCGGACUCGCUCCUACACCAGCCCCAGAAAAUCGAGAGAUUGGAGAUUCAAUUGGUGGGUGUUUGGCAUGUGA
rnacentral:rRNA from 1 species